rnacentral:pre_miRNA from 1 species
AGCCUUCUGUAUCCAUGCUAAGAUGUCGUCACACACCAGACCACAAAGGAUGGUGAGACUCCAAAGAUAAAUGAAGCG